rnacentral:rRNA from 1 species
AGUGAACGCUGGCGGUAGGCCUAACACAUGCAAGUCGAACGGCAGCACAGUAAGAGCUUGCUCGUACGGGUGGCGAGUGGCGGACGGGUGGGGAAUCCAGCGGAAUCUACUUUUUCGUGGGGGAUAACGUCGGGAAACUUACGCUAAUACCGCAUACGACCUACGUGUGAAAGCAGGGGAUCUUCGGACCUUGCGCGUCGGAAUGAGCCGAUGUCGGAUUAGCUAGUUGGGGGGGUAAGGUCCCACCAAGCCGACGAUCCGAAGCUGGUCUGGGAGGAUGAUCAGCCACACUGGAACUGAGACACGGUCCAGACUCCUACGGGAGGCAGCAGUGGGGAAUAUUGGACAAUGGGCGCAAGACUGAUCCAGCCAUACCGCGUGGGUGAAGAAGGCCUUCGGGUUGUAAAGCACUUUUGUUGGGAAAGAAAAGCAGCAGGUUAAUACCCCGCUGUUCUGACGGUACCCAAAGAAUAAGCACCGGCUAACUUCGUG